rnacentral:rRNA from 1 species
UAACGACUCUCGGCAACGGAUAUCUCGGCUCUCGCAUCGAUGAAGAACGUAGCGAAAUGCGAUACUUGGUGUGAAUUGCAGAAUCCCGCGAAUCAUCGAGUCUUUGAACGCAAGUUGCGCCUGAAGCCACCUGGCCAAGGGCACGUCUGCCUGGGUGUCACGC